ACCAGAUUCCUUCAGCACGGAGACACUCCACACAAGUUCCUUUUACUACAGAGCCUGGUAAGUCACGCUACAAUAAUUCAUGCAAUUAUUUUGCAUGAAUUCUUGAAAAAUAUCUACUGAUACUUGCAAUACCUCCUGACAAUCUUAUAUUUACUUUCUUAGAACUUGCCAUUUGUUAAUUAUUCAGCAUUCUCAUGCCUUGUUACGCUGCCUUUUCUACGGGGAUAUACGUUCGGUAUUCAUUACCCCUGCUAUGCAAAAAUCUCCAAAUGAAUCUGAAUUUCAAUGUCUAAAAUCCCUGGUAGAGGACAAGGAUCCUGAGAUCACAUUAAGGGUAGUCAAAUUCUGUGUGAUUGACAUAAAACGUAGGGAACAAGCUGUGCUAUCACAAUGAUUAAGGCCUUAAAUGAUAAUUUUAGGUUAUAUCUUAGUGAUUAAGUUUUAAUUUAUAUAUUUUUAAAUAUAUAUAUCUGUAUUGUCCCUGUUAUACCUAAUUGCAAAUUCAAAUGUAUCCCUAUCAUGUUUUAUCACUUCCUUGAUAUUGUAUGUGGGCUGGAACUGGUCUGUGACCGAAAUAAUAAAUUCAAUUAUUCAGCAUUAUAUAUUUGCGAUCUUUUCUGGCUAGCAGAACUGGAAGUGGAAAUUAAGAAGAGAAAUAGACCAUAGCAGAGCCAUUUUUCUCAGUUGACAUGCUCUGUUCUUUGUUUCAGCUUUCUUACCCAUUUCCAAUUUGUACAAAGGGAAGAUUAAGCCGUAGAAUGUUGUUAAUAAGCCCAUAUAAUGUUUGGAAUGUCUUAGGAUGGUGGUCUAGGGACAGUUCUGUAUUAUUGGGCAGAAACUGAACACUGAUUCAAGGUAGUGGAGGGGGUAUAGAUUUACCAAUAAUGAUUAGAAUCAAAUGUCCUUGCUCUUGGUGGAAGGUUUCCAAUAAGCUAUAUUAAAAAUAAUGAUGUUACUGCUAUUUUAAUUUUUUAUGCGUUGUAUUCAACUAAGGGAGAGUAGACCAACUGCUAUGAAUGGACCUAAGGCAAGGGUAGCAAACAUAUUGCACUCAAAAUAGUUUGGACUACACCUCUGAUUGUCCCUGGCUAUUGGUCAUGUUGGGUGGGGAUGAUGAGAGUUGAACUCCACAACACCUGUAGGAUACCAUAUUGGCAUUCCCCAAACAAAAUUAUUCAUGUCCAUUGAUUUCCAUGGGUUUACUCUGAGUACAACUAACAUUGGAAACCUGGAAGAUAACUUUAUUAAUGGCCAGAAGCCACAAUGACUGUGUUGAACCUCCACUGUCAAGGGCACUUUACCUCUAAUUGCCAGUUGCUGGGAAUCACAAGUGGGGUAUUAUACAACCUGGCUCCCAUUCAUCACUAUAUUUUUCUGCCCACCUCUGAAGUUUCAUAUGUUUUUAAAGGUCUGUUGAGGGACCUGAACACUGUGAAAUUAUAUUAUCAUUGAUCGUUGUACACUUUGUCAACCCCGCACCUGAUGUUUCUCCUCAGAUCCACACAACCACUUCAGCAACGAUGUCUGCCGAAUAUAACCAAUGCUUUGCCAGCUGCCCUGCCUCCACCGUCACGAUUCAACCACCUCCCUUUGUCCUGACCAUCCCUGGGCCAGCUCUCUACUGCCCCGACCAACCACUCUGCAUUGAGCAGUACAACCCCUGUGCUCGUAUGAUUACCUCCAAUGAAGGAGCAGCCUUUGGUGGAUAUGGUGCAACCUCCCGUCUGAGCGCCACAGGCAUCUAUUCUCAGAAAAUGCAGUCCGGAGGCCUGAGCGGAUGCAGUCCAUGCCAGCGAUUCUAAGCUCCAAAACACAGAGCACAGAACGAAUAUUGUGAAGACCAUGGAAUAAGAAAUCAAAAUGUUAGAUCCACU